AUACGAAGUCGGACCUGCCCAGUGAAUUUUAAACGGCCGCGGUACUCUGACCGUGCAAAGGUAGCAUAAUCAUUUGCCUUAUAAUUGAAGGCUGGAAUGAAUGGUUUGACAAGAAUACACCUGUCUCUUUUAGAUUGAUUAGAAUUUUAUUUUUGGAUGAAAAAGUCCAGAUACGAUUAAAAGACAAGAAGACCCUAUCGAGCUUUAGAAAAAUUAAUAGAGUUAUUUUAAGCCAAUAUAAGUAAAAGAAAAGCUAUUAAAAUACUUUGGUUGGGGCAACCAAGGAGUAAGUAAAGCCUCCUUUUAGUGAUAAAUCUUAUUUGUAUUGAUCCAAAUUUUUUGAUCAAAGGAAUUAGUUACCGUAGGGAUAACAGCAUUAUCUUUUUCAAGAGCCCAUAUCGAAAAAAAGGUUUGUGACCUCGAUGUUGGACCAGAAUAUCCUAAAGAUGCAGAAGUCUUUAAGGGUUGGUCUGUUCGACCAUUAAAAU
rnacentral:rRNA from 1 species